rnacentral:rRNA from 1 species
GACAGAGGGUGCAAGCGUUGUUCGGAAUCAUUGGGCGUAAAGGGCGCGUAGGCGGCCAUGCAAGUCGGAUGUGAAAGCCCAGGGCUCAACCUUGGAAGUGCAUCCGAAACUGCACGGCUAGAAUCUCGGAGAGGGUGGUGGAAUUCCCAGUGUAGAGGUGAAAUUCGUAGAUAUUGGGAGGAACACCGGUGGCGAAGGCGACCGCCUGGACGAAGAUUGACGCUGAGGCGCGAGAGCGUGGGGAGCGAACGGG